CACUGGUACCCCUCUCCCUCAGUCCAGGCUCUCAUUCCGUCUUUCUCAUGAUCCAUCUUCUCCUCUGCAUGAGGGAGAAGACUCAAAGGGCCGACACAGCACCUCAUUUAUUCAGCAUGACGCUUGUCAAGCAUCUGAAGGGCUGCACCAGCUCAGCUGCAAGAAAGCACAACCAAGGAAAAUGCCCAGCCCAGAACUGCUCAGUGGAACCCCCUGCCUGGAUGCCUGUUCACCACUGUACUGUAAGUCUGAGAUUUUUGAUUCCUAGUUUGGUGAAGCAGAAGGCUGAGAGUUCUCAUAGCAUUGGUGACUUCUUGAAAUUCGGCUAG
rnacentral:lncRNA from 1 species